AGAAGUUACUGGCUCACAAGCACACCAUGAAGAAAAAGGUGAAGCUUAAAAACGUCACCCCAAGACCCACCAGUACACGAGCCCCUAAGGUCAACUUGCCUUACAGCUCUGAGGAGGGUGUUUCCAGAGGCAGAAACUCUGGUGGGGAACAGAAAAGGAAGGAAGAGAGAAAGAGAAAGAGGCUUGAAGAAGAGAAAAGUGAGAAAGCCCUGAGGAAUGAGGUGGAACAGGAGCGACCCCUCCGAGGGGAUGUGUUCUCCCCUAAGGUAAAUGAAGCAGAGGAUUUGGAUCUGGUCUACAUCCAAAGAAAAGAGCUAAAUUCCAAACAGGAGCACAAAGCAGACUUAAACAUUUCAGUUGACUGCAGCUUUGAUCUUGGGGUCUGUGAUUGGAAACAGGAUAGAGAAGAUGAUUUUGACUGGAAUCCUGCGGAUCGAGACAAUGGUCAUUUUUGAAGCAGAGCGUGGCAAAGGCAAAACUGGAGAAAUUGCAGUGGAUGGUGUCUUACUGGUGUCAGGCUUGUGUCCAGAUGACUUUUUAUCUGAGGAGGGUUGAAUGUCACUGUCCUUCUUUAUAGCUUCAUAUGUGGCUUUUUAAAUGUCAUUUCUC
rnacentral:lncRNA from 1 species